UUUGACUAGAAAAGUGCAAAAGUUUUUUUUUAUAAUAAAAAGAAGUCCUGGGAUAUAUGGAGAACGGAAACAGAUCCUCGUUCUCCCUCGACAACCGCUGCUGCUAGCGGGAGCGGAAGAUCUCGAUCGACGGGACUGGAACCGGAUUCAGAAGCAGCGAGCGGGAGCGGGAGAUCUCGAUCGACCCAUCGUCCAUCCAUCCAUCCAUCAUGGACAAGGUGAACACCUCGCACGCAUGCAUUUCCCUCUCUGAUCCCCGUCCAGUCUAUCUUCCUGCAAACCCGCCGCCCCGAUUCACCGCGUGCAGAGCUCAAUGGGGUUCAUGGCCAUGGGUUGCCCGCUAGCUUUAGGAGGAGGGUGGCCUGACGGAGAUGCGGAAGAGGAGGCGUUUGCUGGUGGCGAGGGGCAGCGCUGGCCAGAGGUUUAGGGUUUUCCGGAAAAUUGAGUGAGGCCCCGAUUCAAAGCGGUUUUUGCAAAUAAUGGUAUCGCGAGAAUGCUGAUUUCUAUGGCCUGACUGUCACCCAAGAUAACCCUGAUUUGCCAAUUGGACAUUUUGACGUCUCCUGUGUCGAUCAACCUUUGAGAAUGGACCUUGAGAUCUCUGAACGUUUGAUCAUACCUUUUUUUUCCCCUUGCUUCACUGCCUUAGCCAUCUUUUCCAUUACUGAUCAAUAACUUUGUAUUUCACCGUGAGCAAUCUGCAGAAGGCUGGUGCAGAAAGAGCCUCCGUGGAGAAGAACUGCUCCGGGAAGAAGGCUAAGGUUACGGCCGAGCAGAGGCGGAGGACAAAAAGAAAUUAAGGUGUGGCGGACUCAUAAACAUAAUAACACGCAAUUUUUUUGAAUCCUUUUGAUCUUGAUAAGUGACAUGUACCGUAACCUACGAAACAUCUAUAGAGACACGAACACGAUGAUACAUAUAUGAAAAUUUCUAGAUACAACCAUACGAAACAUCUACAUGCGUCGCUCGGCAUUGUCAUAGGCCCAAUUAGGGUGGUUGUGUGUCCCUUUUGUUUUUUCAGCAAUUCUUUUCCAUCAAGCAAGAGCCAGCAAGCUAGCAA
rnacentral:lncRNA from 1 species